AUUGAACGCUGGCGGCAGGCUUAACACAUGCAAGUCGAACGAGUGGCGGACGGGUGAGUAAUGCCUGGGAAUCUGCCUUAUGGAGGGGGAUAACGACGGGAAACGGUAGCUAAUCCCGCGUACCAUAGGAUGAGCCCAAGUGGGAUUAGGUAGUAGGUGGGGUAAUGGCACACCGAGACGACGAUCUCUAGCUGGUCUGAGAGGAUGACCAGCCACACCGGGACUGAGACACGGCCCGGACUCCUACGGGAGGCAGCAGUGGAGAAUAGUGCGCAAUGGGGGCAACCCUGACGCAGCCAUGCCGCGUGUAUGAAGAAGGCCUUCGGGUUGUAAAGUUCUUGCGGUUACGCGGCGUUACUCGCAGAAGAAGCACCGGCUAACUCCGUGCCAGCAGCCGCGGUAAUUC
rnacentral:rRNA from 1 species